rnacentral:rRNA from 1 species
GAUGAACGCUGGCGGCGUGCCUAAUACAUGCAAGUCGAGCGAACAGACGAGGAGCUUGCUCCUCUGACGUUAGCGGCGGACGGGUGAGCAACACGUGGAUAACCUACCUAUAAGACUGGGAUAACUUCGGGAAACCGGAGCUAAUACCAGAUAAUAUAUUGAACCGCAUGGUUCAAUAGUGAAAGACGGUUUUGCUGUCACUUAUAGAUGGAUCCGCGCCGCAUUAGCUAGUUGGUAAGGUAACGGCUUACCAAGGCAACGAUGCGUAGCCGACCUGAGAGGGUGAUCGGCCACACUGGAACUGAGACACGGUCCAGACUCCUACGGGAGGCAGCAGUAGGGAAUCUUCCGCAAUGGGCGAAAGCCUGACGGAGCAACGCCGCGUGAGUGAUGAAGGUCUUCGGAUCGUAAAACUCUGUUAUUAGGGAAGAACAAAUGUGUAAGUAACUAUGCACGUCUUGACGGUACCUAAUCAGAAAGCCACGGCUAACUACGUG